UGUAACUUUGCUUACUAUGUAAUUUUGCAAUUUUAUUUUGUUCAGCGGACACUGUAUAUGGUUGUCAACAUCACAUCUGAGUAACUGUAUAUUACUUUCCAGCCAUUUCCAGUUCAGUCAGAUGGACAGAGCUGUGGGAUAUUCAUGCUUAUGUAUGCCCUCUGCAUCUGUACUGGUGCCAUGUUUCACUUUUUGGAUACUGACAUCCCAUCUAUUCGAAAGUGGUGGUGUAUCCAGAUUCUGGAGAAAAUCUCGAUCGCAAGG